GGUGCUGUAGCUCAGUUGGUAGAGCAACGGACUGAAAAUCCGUGUGUCACUGGUUCAAUUCCCGUCAGCACCA
rnacentral:tRNA from 1 species